GACGAACGCUGGCGGCGUGCUUAACACAUGCAAGUCGAACGAAGUGGCGAACGGGGGAGUAAUACGUGGGUAACCUGCCCUCCUUUUUGGGAUAAGCCUUGGAAACGGGGUCUAAUACUGAAUAAAGGGGGAUGGGCGCGCGGCCUAUCAGCUUGUUGGUGGGGGGAUGGCCUACCAAGGCGGUGACGGGUAGCCGGCCUGGGAGGGUUAACGGCCACAUUGGGAACUGUACACGGCCCAGACUCCUACGGGAGGCAGUAGGGGGGAAUCUUCGGAAAUGGACGAAAGUCUGACGGAGCAACGCCGCGUGGGUGAUGACGGCCUUCGGGUUGUAAAGCUCUGUUAAUCGGGACGCAGUACCGGAAGAGAAAGCCACGGCUAACUACGUGCCAGCCGCCGCGGUAAUAC
rnacentral:rRNA from 1 species